rnacentral:rRNA from 1 species
ACUCCUGCGGGAGGCAGCAGUGAGGAAUAUUGGACAAUGGGUGGAAGCCUGAUCCAGCCAUCCCGCGUGCAGGAAGACGGCCCUAUGGGUUGUAAACUGCUUUUAUCUGGGGAUAAACCUACUUACGUGUAAGUAGCUGAAGGUACCAGAAGAAUAAGCACCGGCUAACUCCGUGCCAGCAGCCGCGGUAAUACGGAGGGUGCAAGCGUUAUCCGGAUUUAUUGGGUUUAAAGGGUCCGUAGGCGGACUGAUAAGUCAGUGGUGAAAUCCGACAGCUUAACUGUCGAACUGCCAUGGAUACUGUUAGUCUUGAGUAAGGUUGAAGUGGCUGGAAUAAGUAGUGUAGCGGUGAAAUGCAUAGAUAUUACUUAGAACACCAAUUGCGAAGGCAGGUCACUAAGUCUUAACUGACGCUGAUGGACGAAAGCGUGGGGAGCGAACAGGAUUAGAAACCCUGGUAGUCCCA